rnacentral:misc_RNA from 1 species
CGCCAACGCGACAAGAGGAGCGAGCUACGACCUUACCGAGAGGAGUCAGGACUCGGCCCUGAGGAGUGUGGAGGCGCUGGGCCCGGGAGCCAAGAGGACCUCAUGGAAACAGCGAAUACAAUGGUGCAGCAUCGGAUCUGAACAGCUGGUGCGAUUAUUUGUGCUUGUGGGACAGGAAACAACGACAGUUUUGAGAGCUGCCUCUAGAGUCUCCAGGAAUGAGGACCGGAGGGAGGAUUUAGGCGCCCAUCCAAAUUUGAGGGCUAGUAGGGGCCCUGCCAGACCUCUGUUUUUGACCUGGGCACCCAUAUUUAGCUAUGGAGGCUCAAGCAGGGGCCCUGCUGGAGUUGCUUUAGCUAUCUGGUAGGAUUGUUGUUUGUAUAUUAGUUUUAUGUUUUUUGUUACUAAUAAUACUUAUAUCCAUUUGCUAUUAUCUGCAAAUGUGAGGGCUAUUUAUGGAC